AUGCGAGUCGAGAGGGGUUAAGCCCUCGGCAUACUGCUCAGUAACACGUGGAUAACCUGCCCUCAAGACGGGGAUAACCCCGGGAAACUGGGGAUAAUACUCGAUAGGUUAUGGUUCCUGGAAUGGUCCAUAGCUCAAAUGCGUUAGCGCUUGAGGAUGGGUCUGCGCCUGAUUAGGUUGUUGCCGGUGUAACGUACCGGCAAGCCGAUAAUCAGUACGGGCUGUGAAAGCAGGAGCCCGGAGAUGGAUUCUGAGACAUGAAUCCAGGCCCUACGGGGCGCAGCAGGCGCGAAACCUUCACACUGCGCGAAAGCGCGAUGAGGGGACCUCGAGUGUCGGUGCCAAGCAUCGACUGUCCCGCUGCCUAAAAAGCAGUGGUUAGCAAGGGCCGGGCAAGACCGGUGCCAGCCGCCGCGGUAACACCGGCGGCUCGAGUGGUGACCAUUUUUAUUGAGCUUAAAGGGUCCGUAGCCGGUCUGGUAACUCUCUUGGGAAAUCUGGCGGCUUAACCGUCAGGCGUCCGGGGGAAACUGCCAGACUUGGGAGCGGGGGAGGUUGGAGGUACUCCAGGGGUAGAGGUGAAAUUCUGUAAUCCUUGGGGGACCACCAGUGGCGAAGGCGUCCAACCAAAACGCGUCCGACGGUGAGGGACGAAAGCCAGGGGCACGAACCGGAUUAGAUACCCGGGUAGUCCUGGCCGUAAACGAUGCGGGCUAGGUGUCACAGUGGCUACGAGCCACUGUGGUGCCGUAGAGAAAUCGUGAAGCCUGCCGCUUGGGAAGUACGGCCGCAAGGCUGAAACUUGAAGGAAUUGGCGGGGGAGCACUACAACGGGUGGAGCCUGCGGUUUAAUUGGAUUCAACGCCGGGAAGCUUACCGGGUGCGACAGCUGGAUGAAGGCCAGGCUAAAGACCUUGCUGGACUAGCUGAGAGGAGGUGCAUGGCCGUCGUCAGUUCGUACUGUGAAGCGUCCUGUUAAGUCAGGCAACGAACGAGACCCACGCCCAUUGUUGCCAGCGCGCCCUCAGGGGUGGCGGGUACACGGUGGGGACCGCUGGUGCUAAACCAGAGGAAGGAAUGGGUAACGGUAGGUCAGUACGCCCCGAAUCUCCCGGGCUACACGCGUGCUACAAUGGUUGGGACAAUGGGUAUCAACCCCGAAAGGGGAAGGAAAUCUCCUAAACCCAACCUUAGUUCGGAUUGGGGGCUGCAACUCGCCCCCAUGAAGAUGGAAUCCGUAGUAAUCGCAACUCAAAAUGUUGCGGUGAAUACGUCCCUGCUCCUUGCACACACCGCCCGUCAAACCACCCGAGUAUGGCCUCGAUGAG
rnacentral:rRNA from 1 species